rnacentral:ncRNA from 1 species
CGGAAAAGUGAUGAAAAGGGAAUCAGGUGAAAAUCCUGAACAGACCCGCUGCUGUAAGCUCCGCCAAAGUCGUUGAACACAACUCAAUCCACUGUUCGCAAUGAAUGGGAAGGACGUUCAAUGACGGAGUAAGUCAGAAGACCUGCCAGAAUCAGU